CCGAAGCGGCUGUGGUCCUGCCGGGUGCCCUGCACCGUGCCGUUGGGGAAGAUCUCCAGGUGGAAGCCGGUGCGGCAGUAGAGCUGCCGCCGCCGCAGGAUGCCCUUGAGUACCACUUCCAGGCCCUAGACCCUGUUUGUGCUGGAUGCUGCGUUAAGAAGUACGUAACAAACCCGAGUCCUUGACCUGAGGAAUCUCACUGCUCUGUCUUGUGGAAGGAUUUCUAAUGGAAGGCAACAUGAAUGAGGCAACAGAAUUUCAGUCAACGUGUAGAAGUACAUAUAUAUUUUUGUGGCGAGUUUAGAAUGAUGGCAGAAUGAAGCCUGUGUCUACAGUCUCACAACACAGAGAAAAUAAAUCCUGAUGAUGUUAAACUCUGACAAAACUCUGACAAUUUCACUUUUGCUAUGGGAACAUGAUGGCCUAUUUUCUGUUUUCUCCAGAAGCUUGUUGGAAUUUACCUUGGAAAUCGUGUGAGAGCUUCAGAGAGCCGGGUUUUCUUGGCAACACCAGCCGGUAGUCAUUUCUGAACAAACAAGAUUGAAAUUUAUGUCUCAGUGAAGCAAUACUGGAAGCCUGUUUGACGUGCUGCACAAAGACCAUUUCCAGCGCUCUCCAGCCAGAUGAAUUUCCUCCAUGUGCUGCAGCAUUGUUGCAACACCCUUUUCUCCCCUUUGGCUUCACGGAGACUGGGCUGCUGUGCUAGGGCUGACUGCUGUCACCGCUUUACCUUUCGAGACCUUGUGCCGCACCCCCACAUUAAAAGUGCUGAGACCUGACUGUCGCUUGUUCAAUGCAUUUCCAGAUGAAGUACCUCUACGUUCUCACUUCUGCUUCUUUCAUGUUUUGGAGAGGCUCCUUAGAAGCACCCCAAAAUAAAUCUAACUUUCUUCUUUGACUUGCACAAAAAGUCAACAGCAAUAGGUUUCUGGUUUCCUGACAUUACUUCUGUUUAUAGUGAUCAAUACUUGUUCAGUGUUUCCUUGCUAUUUUCAGUCUUGUUUAGAUUGUAAAUAAUUUGGAUCAGAGACCUGUCUUUUUAUUACAAUUACUGAAAAACUAGGAUGAUUAAAUCUUGGCUUGUACUUAAGGAUCCUAGAGAAUCCGAAGCUAUUGAUAACAAAACAAUUCAGCAGAGUGAAAUUGAUCUUCUUAUAUACGGUGUUUGCUACAGUCAGUGUGAAUCCCUAAAAAAAUUAGUAUUUUCCAAUGAAACAUAUAACAUACUGCUGACUUCAGGUUGUCUGCUAAUCUUUGUAAUUGGCAUGAAAUCUAGGGUGGCUGGGAGUCAAAACCCUGUCUUUUUGGCUUUGUGUGUGUUCUGCUGAUUACCUGCCUAAUGAAGUAAGUAGGCAGGGCAAUCUCUUUGUGUCAUCCUGCAACCAUGUCAAGUUAUUCACUAAAACUCUCUUUGGGAAAGUGGGUUGGAAACACUUAGGUGAAGAUUUUCUUUUCGGUACAAAUUUGCUGCUUUGUGGAAACUUAAGGAUGUUAUAGGAGAUCAGCAUCAAUGAAUUUACUAGCUUUAAAAUAAUGUGGAGAAAAAUAAGCAAAAAGUCUGUGAUUGUUCUAGCUGUUUCUAGAAUGAAAGAUUCCAGGCUUUCCUCUUGAAAGUGGUACUAGUUGCACUAAGGCAAUUAAAGAGAGUAUGCUGUUUACAGUUAAGUGUUUAUGCCAUUUUUGAGUCAAUGUUGAUCUAUGAAAAUCUGAGACUUGAAUUUUUGUUUUGUUUUUUUUAUAAGUUUAAUUCUGCUACUUUGUAGAACUGUAUCUUAUGAAUUCUACUAAAUAGAGUUGUGAAAACUAGAUUUGCUGCAGUUAUAUGAAUAUACUUCUUUCAAUACAGAAGCUUAUUCCUGCCAACA